AUUAGUUUUUCAUACAAAUAAGAAAAUUCCUUACAUUUAGUUCUUAGUACCAAUACUACUCUUUAACUGGUUACAACUUCACAAUUAACAUGAAGGUUAUCUGGAUAUCAUUCGUUAUACUGACUUUUAUGCUACAUGUCGUCUUGUCUGAGCAAGAUCCAUUGGAAAAUAAUGGCAUAACCAUGUAUGUCGGAUCAAUACUUUUACAUUUUAUCGGGUUGAUUACCAAUAUUGUCCGAUGGAUAUUACUUAUUGUUUGGGGUAUCCCGUAUAUACUGAAGACGUUGAUUGGUUGGGUACUCUAUCCGUUUGGGAUGGGUUCUCCUGACAUUUUUGACUUUCCUGAGAUUUCUGAUUAACCUUCUUUUUGCUUAACAAUAAAAAUGAAGCAUGAACUCUUACUUCUUCUCUA